rnacentral:rRNA from 1 species
GGGUAUGGCUGUUCGCCAUUUAAAGUGGUACGCGAGCUGGGUUUAGAACGUCGUGAGACAGUUCGGUCCCUAUCUGCCGUGGGCGCUGGAGAACUGAGGGGGGCUGCUCCUAGUACGAGAGGACCGGAGUGGACGCAUCACUGGUGUUCGGGUUGUCAUGCCAAUGGCACUGCCCGGUAGCUAAAUGCGGAAGAGAUAAGUGCUGAAAGCAUCUAAGCACGAAACUUGCCCCGAGAUGAGUUCUCCCUGAGACUUUAAGUCUCCUGAAGGAACGUUGAAGACGACGACGUUGAUAGGCCGGGUGUGUAAGCGCAGCGAUGCGUUGAGCUAACCGGUACUAAUGAACCGUGAGGCUUAACCUU